rfam:Arabidopsis thaliana chromosome 5, complete sequence.
GGAUACAAUCAUACAAUCACUAUUGCACCGGAUCCCAUUAGAACUCCGCAACAAAGCGUUCUUGGGUGAAAGUAGUACUAGAAUGGGUGACCUACCGGGAAGUCCUCGUGUUGCAUUCC